AGUCUCCAGACUUCCUGGAUGAUGUAAUGUACGUGGAUGAUGGCAGCACUUCAGUCACCCGGCUCAGUGAGGACAGCGAGGAGAUGGGGACUACCCGCCGGUUACCAGUACUGACCCCACUGGCCAGUGCCACCAUGUACAGCCACAAGCAUUCAUUACAGCCUCAUGUGCGAAGUGCUGAGAGCACCGUGCCGACGUGAGAGGAGCCCUGACAAAAGGACACGUUGCCCUCCCAGCACCAAGUGCCCUCGCUCACACUUCACAUCUUACAGACUCUGUGUUCUUUUCUGUUUUUAGGUGAAUUGGAUUUUAAUUUCUGGCAGAGACUAAUCCCGUAGGAUUUUAUACGGUUUUUAAUGAGGAAGUGGGGUGGGAGGGUAGGGAAGAGGUUUGAGGUUCAAAGCCCAAAGCUGCCUGUUGUAGUUUGAUCCUGGGCUGCGGAUCUCCUCGCGCAUGAUCAGCAGGAUGUGGAACUGCAGUUUGAUCCUAGUGCUUCAUAGUGGUGGCAGAUUGUGUGUCUUGGGGUGUAGUUCAUAAACCAGAGUGAGUAAAGCAUUGCAUGGACAAGGGGAUAGUGCCAGGCUACCAGCUGGACCCUCGUGGGCCUGGGCAGGGGAGAGGGUGGGAGGGGAGGGCAGGUGGGGGUAGGGAGGGGGGAGGUUAGCAGAUGGGUCAGGGUGGAGGCUGCAUGAACCUGGAGGCGCACCUACUCAACUUCGUAAUGAAGCCACAAAGUCCCUGUGAGAGAAGAGGGGAUCACUAGCCAAGGAGACCAUGGCUGAUGGAGCAGAGAAUCAGAGGUUUGAUUCAACUAAGGACUGCUUCCCUUCCCCCUCCUUCCCGACCCCACCCUCUCAGCACUACUGGGGGAGGGAGCCUACGACAGUCUAUCUACCACAAGGAUAGGAGGGUGGCUGUAGGCUUAGAGAUCACAUUUAACACUAAAGCAUAUCAGGGUCCAGGGAAGGUCAAGCCUGCCUGGUUCAGCUCAAAUCAGGGACAGAGACUGCAUUCAAUAAUUAGUCAGCUGUGGAUGGAGUUAUCAACCAAGCACACAGAGUUUGUCGCUGGGGUCAUCGUGUUGUGACCUUCUCCGAACCAGUGGGAGAAUUUGCUGAGAGAAUUGGGAGGUCAGUCGUGGGGGGGUGUGGGAAUAGGCAUUGUGGGCUGCGAUGGAUGGUCCUGGGUCCACUGUCUAUCUCUGUUCCCUCUCAGUGAUGGAAUGUGAGGAAUAGGGGGUUUCCUGGAGUGUAAUAUCAGUCAGCAUCCCUUACAUUGCUGCCCACUUCUCGUAGAGAAGUGAUGGAUGAUUGUAGGGCAGUGUGGAUAAUACACCUCCCACUUCACCAUCUCCUUCCCAGCAAUAGGAUACAAGUUAUCAUUCUGAUUGUCCUCGGAUCCUUGUCCCAGACCCACGCAAGUUUAGAAUGUGCUGCUAAUGGGAUAAAUUUGGUACAAAUCAUUUAGGGGCUUAUUUGCAGAAAGUUGUUUUCAGUCGAAUCGCAUGGGGUUCUAAGUGAUCGGGACAGCUUGAUGCAGGUUCUCCACUGGUUUCGCAUUUUAAUUAUGAACUGGAAAGAUUUGUGUGUGGGAAUCAUUGGUGAUCCCUGGACACAGCAGAGAGCCACUCUCACUACAUUAAACAGGAGCAGUUUGCUGCUUCCUCUAGGCUCAUCUCAGACUGGAACUAGUGAAUUUGUACAACCAAAGACGUAUAUUUUGUGCUCCAGGGUUCAUUAAAGUUUACUUUUCAUUUUA